AGCGAACGCUGGCGGAAUGCUUAACACAUGCAAGUCGCACGGGCAGCAAUGUCAGUGGCGGACGGGUGAGUAACGCGUAGGAAUGUGUCCAGGGAUGGGGGAUAACGCUGGGAAACUGGCGCUAAUACCGCAUAUGGCCUGAGGGUCAAAGCCGCGAGGCGUCUUUGGAGCAGCCUGCGUCCGAUUAGGUAGUUGGUGGGGUAAAGGCCUACCAAGCCUGCGAUCGGUAGCUGGUCUGAGAGGAUGAUCAGCCACACUGGGACUGAGACACGGCCCAGACUCCUACGGGAGGCAGCAGUGGGGAAUAUUGGACAAUGGGCGGAAGCCUGAUCCAGCAAUUCCGCGUGGGUGAAGAAGGUCUUCGGAUUGUAAAGCCCUUUCGGCAGGGACGAUGAUGACGGUACCUGCAGAAGAAGCCCCGGCUAACUUCGUGCCAGCAGCCGCCGUAA
rnacentral:rRNA from 1 species